UACGUAGGGGGCUAGCGUUGUCCGGAAUCAUUGGGCGUAAAGAGCGUGUAGGCGGCCCGGUAAGUCCGCUGUGAAAGUCGGGGGCUCAACCCUCGAAUGCCGGUGGAUACUGUCGGGCUAGAGUGCGGAAGAGGCGAGUGGAAUUCCUGGUGUAGCGGUGAAAUGCGCAGAUAUCAGAAGGAACACCGAUUGCGAAGGCAGCUCGCUGGGACGUCACUGACGCUGAGACGCGAAAGCGUGGGGAGCAAACAGG
rnacentral:rRNA from 1 species